rnacentral:rRNA from 1 species
UGGGAAUAUUGGACAAUGGGGGAAACCCUGAUCCAGCCAUGCCGCGUGAAGGAUGAAGGCCUUCGGGUCGUAAACUUCUUUUAGCAGGGAAAAAGGGAAACUUGAUGGUACCUGCAGAAAAAGCACCGGCUAACUCCGUGCCAGCAGCCGCGGUAAUACGGAGGGUGCAAGCGUUGCUCGGAAUUAUUGGGCGUAAAGCGCGUGUAGGCGGCUUUAUAAGUCUGGUGUGAAAUCCCGGAGCUUAACUUCGGAACUGCACUGGAUACUGUAAGGCUAGAGGGCGAGAGAGGAUGGUGGAAUUCCUGGUGUAGGGGUGAAAUCCGUAGAUAUCAGGAGGAACAUCAGUGGCGAAGGCGGCCAUCUGGCUCGUACCUGACGCUGAGACGCGAAAGCGUGGGGAGCAAAC